rnacentral:miRNA from 1 species
CAUGAGUCUUGACCGGAAGGGUUUCCUUCCAGUUGACGAGGUAGAUGUACCUCAUCAAUUGGAAGGGUUUCCUUCAGGUCAAUGAGGUACAUGUACCUCGUUGACCAGAAGGAAACCCUUCCGGUCAGGGUGGUG